rnacentral:rRNA from 1 species
UACGGGGGGGCAAGCGUUGUUCGGAAUUACUGGGCGUAAAGGGCUCGUAGGCGGCCAACUAAGUCGGACGUGAAAUCCCUCGGCUUAACCGGGGAACUGCGUCCGAUACUGGAUGGCUUGAGUUCGGGAGAGGGAUGCGGAAUUCCAGGUGUAGCGGUGAAAUGCGCAGAUAUCAGGAGGAACACCGAUGGCGAAGGCAGCUCGCUGGGACGUGACUGACGCUGAGACGCGAAAGCGUGGGGAGCAAACAGG